AUUGAACGCUGGCGGCAGGCCUAACACAUGCAAGUCGAACGGUAGCACAGAGAGCUUGCUCUCGGGUGACGAGUGGCGGACGGGUGAGUAACGUCUGGGAAACUGCCCGAUGGAGGGGGAUAACUACUGGAAACGGUAGCUAAUACCGCAUAACGUCGCAAGACCAAAGUGGGGGACUUUCGGGCCUCACACCAUCGGAUGUGCCCAGAUGGGAUUAGCUAGUAGGUGGGGUAAUGGCUCACAUAGGCGACGAUCCCUAGCUGGUCUGAGAGGAGGACCAGCCACACUGGAAAUGAGACACGGUCCAGACUCCUACGGGAGGCAGCAGGGGGGAAUAUUGCACAAUGGGCGCAAGCCCGAUGCAGCCAUGCCGCGUGUAUGAAGAAGGCCUUCGGGUUGUAAAGUACUUUCAGCGGGGAGGAAGGCGGUGAAGUUAACAGCUUCACCGAUUGACGUUACCCGCAGAAGAAGCACCGGCUAACUCCGUGCCAGCAGCCGCCGUAA
rnacentral:rRNA from 1 species